rnacentral:lncRNA from 1 species
CAACUUCUAAAAAAAUAUUGGGAACAAAAAAAAAAGAACUUCAUUUCCAACAGUAUUCUAAAAAUCACUUCCAAUAAAUCAAAUAUUGACCCCACGACUUUUUACAACAAUCUUCUUUUUUCCCCGCACGAUGUCGUAGCUCGUGCGAAACCUUCUCGCCGCCGCCGCCGCGACUUCCCAGCCAACCGCUGCUGCACCUCCCAGCAGGCAGUCAGG